UGGUGUAACGUUAUUGGCGGGUUUCCCGGAUGAACUAGCUACAUUUCAUAAAAUGCAUGUUUGCCCGGAGGAAGGUCCAUGCUUCCUUCUUUCCUGCGGGUUGUUGUUUUAGCUGUUCGCCCGUAAUGCACGGCGUACUGCACAAGUGUGUGUGGUUGGGAGAUUGUCUCGAAAUCGUUUUAACACUUCAGAUAUCGGACUACAAAGAGUCAGCGUUUUGUUAUCAGACAGGUGCCAAUAGGUGUUUGCACAAUGUUAACCUGCGCAAUCAAUUCUACAAGGAGCUGGACAGACACACGCCGAAACUCUUCAACUUGUUCAGAGACCACCAAGACGGGCAAGAUAGCGGAGGAGCUAGCCAAGCUUGUGAGGAUUUAUGACCUUCAGGAACAACGUGAUGUAAUAUGAGACGGGCCUUUGUCCUUUGUGCACUUCCUGUGUACCUGCGUGAAGAUGCCUCCAAGAUCUUCAGGACCUGUAAUGUCAGCAGAUGGGCCAGACCUCACUGACACUCUGGUGGCCUGACCGUCGUCACGGUGACACUACUGAUGCCCACUGACACACCUCUUCAGCCCUGAGAGCAUCUGUAUUGUCGUGGAGGAUGAAAUACCUGUGAGUGGUCCCACAAAUCUGGCUGACUCAUUUCUCCUGCUCUUUGGGUACGUCUGUGCACUAGACCUACUAUACCCAAAGAAUCUCGAGCUUACAUUCACAUUUCUUGAGGACAACAAACCACUGAAAGGGCGUCUACUGACGCUGAAUAAUGAUUUGUUCAAUGACUGAAUCACUCAGAACGGACUAUUUGUUGAGCUGAGUAUUGGAAGUUAUUUUUUAUUUUUUAUUUUUUUUCUCUUUACAAAUCAUUUGCCUCUUCUACCUCAGAUUUAAGAUGGCACUGUUUGCCUCUUCUACUUCAGAUUUAAUACAUUGAUUGUUAA